rnacentral:rRNA from 1 species
UGGGGAAUAUUGGACAAUGGGCGGAAGCCUGAUCCAGCAACGCCGCGUGAGGGAUGACGGCCUUCGGGUUGUAAACCUCUUUCAGUACCGACGAAGCGAAAGUGACGGUAGGUACAGAAGAAGGACCGGCCAACUACGUGCCAGCAGCCGCGGUAAUACGUAGGGUCCGAGCGUUGUCCGGAAUUAUUGGGCGUAAAGGGCUCGUAGGCGGUUUGUCGCGUCGGGAGUGAAAACAGCGGGCUUAACUCGUUGCUUGCUUUCGAUACGGGCAGACUAGAGGUAUGCAGGGGAGAAUGGAAUUCCUGGUGUAGCGGUGAAAUGCGCAGAUAUCAGGAGGAACACCGGCGGCGAAGGCGGUUCUCUGGGCAUUACCUGACGCUGAGGAGCGAAAGUGUGGGGAGCGAAACAGGAUUAGAUACCCUGGUAGUCCACACCGUAAACGUUGGGCGCUAGGUGUGGGUCCUUUCCACGGAUUCCGUGCCGUAGCUAACGCAUUAAGCGCCCCGCCUGGGGAGUACGGCCGCAA